UACAGAGGUCCCGAGCGUUGUUCGGAUUCAUUGGGCGUAAAGGGCGUGUAGGCGGGAAGGAAAGUCAGAUGUGAAAUCCCCAGGCUCAACCUGGGAACUGCAUUUGAAACUCCCUUUCUUGAGUACCGGAGAGGAAAGUGGAAUUCCUGGUGUAGAGGUGAAAUUCGUAGAUAUCAGGAGGAACACCAGUGGCGAAGGCGGCUUUCUGGACGGUAACUGACGCUGAGACGCGAAAGCGUGGGGAGCAAACAGG
rnacentral:rRNA from 1 species